AUGGAAAUCUUAACACAGAUUCGACAAAGAAGUAUUGUCAAACUCUAUGGAUUUUGCUCCCAUCCAACGUACAAGUUUCUUGUCUAUGAUUACAUUCAGCGUGGAAGUCUCCACACGACUUUACAAGAUGAGGAAUUAGCCAAGGGAUUGGAUUGGCAUAAGAGAGCUGCCCUUAUAAAUGAUGUUGCUCAGGCAAUAUCCUAUUUGCACAAUGACUGUAGUCCUCCUAUAAUUCAUCGAGAUAUCACAAGCAACAACAUCCUGCUUGAUACAAAUUUUAAGGCUUAUGUCUCAGAUUUUGGUACAGCAAGGAUUUUGAAGCCUGAUACAUCAAACUGGAGUGCACUAGCAGGGACAUAUGGCUACAUUGCUCCUGAGUUGUCCUACACUUCUGUUGUGACAGAGAAAUGUGAUGUGUACAGCUUUGGUGUGCUUGUGCUAGAGGUGUUGAUAGGGAAGCAUCCAAGAGAUCUACUCCAACAUCUUGCCUCAUCAACAGAGCCAUAUACUCUUGUCAACAAAAUCUUGGACCAACGGCCUUCAGCACCAACAACAAUAGAAGAGAAAAACAUAGUUUUCCAAAUCAAGGUAGUAUUUUCUUGCUUGAAAGCUUCCCCUCAAGCAAGGCCAACAAUGCAGGAGAUCUACCAGAUGCUCAUCCAUUAUGAAUCUUCCACUUCAGUGUGA
rnacentral:rRNA from 1 species